UGAGGAAUAUUGGUCAAUGGGGGAAACCCUGAACCAGCGACGCCGCGUGUGGGACGAAAGGGCUUUGCCCCGUAAACCACUGUCAGAUGGGAAUAAAAGCCUUCUUAGAGGGCUGGGAAUGUACCAUCAGAGGAAGGACCGGCUAACUACGUGCCAGCAGCCGCGGUAAUACGUAGGGUCCAAGCGUUGUCCGGAAUUACUGGGUAUAAAGGGUGCGCAGGCGGACUUGUGCGUCAGGGGUUAAAUGUCACGGCUCAACCGUGAACCUGCCCUUGAUACGGCAAGCCUUGAGUGUGAGAGAGGUAAGUAGAAUUCCUGGUGUAGCGGUGAAAUGCGUAGAUAUCAGGAGGAAUACCAGUGGCGAAGGCGGCUUACUGGCUCACAACUGACGCUCAGGCACGAAAGCGUGGGGAGCAAACAGG
rnacentral:rRNA from 1 species